rnacentral:rRNA from 1 species
GCGCAAGGGGAAUGCCUUGGCAUCAGGAGCCGAUGAAGGACGUGAUAAGCUGCGAAAAGCUUCGGGGAGCUGCAAAUAAGCUUUGAUCCGGAGAUGUCCGAAUGGGGAAACCCACCUGAGCAAACCUCAGGUAACGCAUGGUGAAUCAAAUAGCCAUGCGUGGGGAACCGCCUGAACUGAAACAUCUAAGUAGGGCGAGGAAAAGUAAUCAACCGAGAUUCCGAAAGUAGUGGCGAGCGAAAUCGGAAGAGGCCAAACCGUACGUAGCAAUAUGUGCGGGGUUGUGGACGGCAAUGUCGGUAAGCUUCGUUAGACGAAUGGUCUGGGAAGGCCAGUCAAAGAGUGUGAGAGCCACGUAGUCGAAAAUGAAGUGAACGUAGCCGGAUCCAGAGUACCGCGGGGCACGAGGAAUCCCGUGGGAAGCCGGGGGGACCACCCUCCAAGCCAAAAUACUACCUGAUGACCGAUAGAGGAGCAGUACCGUGAGGGAAAGGUGAAAAGCACCCCGGGAGGGGAGUGAAAUAGUACCUGAAACCUUGUGCUUACAAGCAGACAUAGCCCGUUAAAGGGUGGUGUCGUACUUUUUGUAGAACGGUCCGGCGAGUUAUAGUAACUGGCGAGCUUAAGGUAUUCAGUACCGGAGGCGAAGGGAAACCGAGUGUGAAUAGCGCGUGAAGUCAGUUGCCAUAGACCCGAAACCAGGUGACCUAGCCAUGUCCAGGAUGAAGUGGAGGUAAAGCUCCAUGGAGGUCCGAACCCACGUACGUUGCAAUGUCCGGGGAUGAGGUGUGGCUAGCGGUGAAAUUCCAAACGAACUUGGAGAUAGCUGGUUCUCCCCGAAAUAGCUUUAGGGCUAGCGUAGGUAAUGAGUUUCACGGAGGUAAAGCACUGUCUGAGCUAGGGGGCGAUAAGCUUACUGAACUCUAACAAACUAAGAAUGCCGUAGAAAUGCUUACCUGCAGUCAGACUGCGAGUAAUAAAAUCCGUGGUCAAAAGGGAAACAGCCCAGACCCACAGCUAAGGUCCCAAAUAUACGCUAAGUGGAAAACGAUGUGAGAUUGCAUAAACAACCAGGAUGUUGGCUUAGAGGCAGCCACUCGUUCAAAGAGUGCGUAAUAGCUCACUGGUCGAGUGAUCUUGCGCGGAAAAUUUAACGGGGCUAAGCGUAUAACCGAAGCUUGGGAAUGUCGAAAGACAUUGGUAGGGGAGCGUCGUGUAUGGGGUGAAGUCGCAUCGGAAGGAGCGGUGGACUGUACACGAGUGAGAAUGCCGGAAUGAGUAGCGAGAAUUAUGUGGGAAUCAUAAUGGCCGAAAAUCUAAGGUUUCCUGGGGAAGGUUCGUCCGCCCAGGGUAAGCCGGGAGCUAAGGCGAGGCCGCAAGGCGUAGUCGAUGCACAUACGGUAGAAAUUCCGUAGCCGGUACAAUUGUUAAUCACGGUGACACAUGAGUAUAGCUCUACCGGGCGUUGGUAGCCCCGGGCGUAAGCGAGUCGAAUGAGACGAAGUGAGUAAAGCUUGUGGCGAGAAAAGCCGUGUGGAUUGGUUGUACUGCCCGUACCGCAAACCGACACAGGUAGAUGAGGAGAAGAUCCUAAGGCCAACGGGAGAAGGGUUGUUAAGGAACUAGGCAAAUUGACCCCGUAACUUCGGAAUAAGGGGUGCCUACGAAAGUAGGUCGCAGAGAAUAGGCCCAAGCAACUGUUUACCAAAAACACAGGUCUCUGCUAAAUCGAAAGAUGACGUAUAGGGGCUGACGCCUGCCCGGUGCUGGAAGGUUAAGAGGAGAGCUUAGGGAAACCGAAGGUUCGAAUUGAAGCCCCAGUAAACGGCGGCCGUAACUAUAACGGUCCUAAGGUAGCGAAAUUCCUUGUCAGGUAAGUUCUGACCCGCACGAAAGGCGUAAUGAUUUGGGCACUGUCUCAACAGCCCGCCCGGCGAAAUUGUAGUACCGGUGAAGAUGCCGGUUACCCGCAACUAGACGGAAAGACCCCAUGGAGCUUUACUGCAGCUUAAUACUGA